UCCAACACACAACCGCACAAGCACUCUACCUCCAUUGCCAAAACCGCGGCUCCACCUCCACUUUUCUUCACAAUCCAACUUCUCACCUCAGCUCCACAACACCAUUUCCCUUUCGGAUCAGCAGCUGGAGCAAGGUAGGAGAGCUGAAAUCCGCAAGCUACACCCAGUUUUCCAGCCGCAACAACCACCACAGCUCCACCAUCUGCUCAGCCAAGACAACCCCAAACCAGUCGCGAGCCUAGGGAAAUAAUUCUGCCCAGAUUUGUUCGUGCGUGAACGGAGCAUUAGCAGAGGGUAUCGUGAGGAAGUGGAACUCGAAUCCCAAUUUGACAUCUGAACUUCACUCUUGGUCUUGAAGUUUGAGAAAUCUGAGCAGUGCUGAUUUCUUUUAAUUUGUACUUGAAUCUUAAGACUGCAGUUUACCGUUGUAUUGUAUUGUGAAUUGAAAAACGUAUUGGUUAUUUUGGAUUGCCACUUGAAGCUGGAAAAUGUUUAAACCCUAAUUAUUAUGUUUGGCUUGUAUGGUUGUAAUCGUGGUGUGUGACAGUAUA